ACUUAAUUUAUUUUUGAUCUGGGAAAUGUUAAAUUAUUUUUACUCAUAAUCACGGGUUCACAUGGUUUUUCCAUUUUUAGUGAAGAACAAGUAUCCCGAAUUUUAUGUCCAAAAUAUUGGAAUAUUUGGGAUAUAUUCUCUCUCAUAUCACUAAAAAUCUUGUACCUACUACUUAUGCUGCCAGCUGUACUAUUGAGCCUAACAAGUUAUUUUUCAGACCUAAGUCAGUAAAUAUACAUUAAGUUAUGUCAAAUCAGUACGGUUUCGUCUUUAACUCGCCGCUUUAGCUUUCGAUUCGUCUUGGUUCUAUUGCAUUUAAAGUAAUACAAAACACAUACAUUUAAAGUAAUUAAUUAAAGUAUUUCGCCCCUUUUGCCCAAAUAUACUUGUACAAAGUAAAUGCAAAGCCAAUUUUACUCAAAUAGGGCGGUGAAUUACGGGUGCUAAGCUUGCCUUUCUUCUGAGGCGGAGAUGAGAAGAAACUUGCGAGAAUCAGCUAAUAGCAUUGGUGAAAUCCAGCGAGCGGAGAAGAUAACGAAUACUAUUGGUUGAUGUCCGCACGUCUUCUUUCAUCUCCGCUCAUCUCAGCCUCAGUGGAAAGGUAAACUUAGUGUAUGUUGUAUAAAGAAGUAAGUUUAACACUUACUGUCUGUGCAUUAUAUGUGAUGCAACGUCCAAUGUGACGUCAUAAAUGGAUAGAUCUGUAUACUUAUGCAUCACAUACAUAUAAUGCACGGACGUAUCGACCCAAUGUCAUUGUUGAAAGCGAGGGACAGUAAAAGUAAGAAGAAGAAAACGCACUGGUCUGGACAUACAUAUAUAGAAGCAUAUUUUUUUAGUUAUGUUUGUUACAUUUUGUACAUACGUAUUAGUACAUUAAUGUCGUGUGCAAUGUAAUCUUAACGCUAAUAUUACCUUCGAUUUCCCGAUUGUAAUACGAUGAAAUCGUUAGUCGUUUAAUAAUAUAUUAUAUUUAUGUACUUAACCAAAUAUCUUCGUGAUUAUGUUUGUUCUUAGUGUUGCUUACCUUGUUUUGAAUAAUAGAAAAUUUCAGUCAAUAUAUGUUUUAAAAAACUUUUUAAGUUGAAUAUAAAGUGCUUGUGAGAGCAGUUGUGGCAAUGAAAAUGAUUUAGGUAUAUGUUUGAGCCAUAUCUUGCCCAAAUUUCCUAAUAAUUUUAGCUAACGUAUAAGCUUAUUGAUUUUAUUAGCGUUUAGGGCGGGUAAUAACUAAAUUUUAACUUGAGACUGCCAUUAGAGACAAUCAAAUUAAAACAAUUUAAAAGAUCUAUGUCUAUAACCUGAUCACACUACGAGGUCCAAUAGUAAGGAAAAAAUUACAGAAUUAAGAGAUAUUACCAAUUAGAGAGAAGGAGGUUGUGUUUCCUUGUAAUCAGACCGCUUAGUGUAUAAUACCUACUUUUAAUUCCCCUCUUGUAAAGCGCUACUUUCAAAAUUAUACAGUCAUUGUUCAAUACAAGAUACGCAACGCAUCAAAAUUUCAGUAGGUUAAAUAAUACACUAGCACUAGUUCGACCCGAUAUUUAUAAAUAUCACUUCCUCUAUCCUUUUCCUUCUUAAUACAUUGUACUAUCUUAACCUUUCCUCUCUUUCGAAUUCGGGUCUAAAAUAAAAGAUUUAUUUAUGAAAAGAGUAUAUUAUACUUUAAUAUAUUGAACUUGUAAAGAUAGACUGAUUUAGUGGUACCCAUAAAUGUUUAGAUUUAAUCUACUUUAUUUUAGAAUAAACUAUUAACUGUGUGAUUUAA